GGAGUAAAAGUCGUAACAAGGUUUCCGUAGGUGAACCUGCGGAAGGAUCAUUAUCGAAAUACUUAUUUAGCGUUCCGUGCUAUCCCAUUGCUUUAUUUACCCUGUUGCUUCCACUGGAUGAGUUUCCAUACCUUGUGUUUGAGAAACUUUGGCUUGUGUAAGAUUCAUUCACGGCCAGCCAGUGAGAAGACCAUUUACAAAACCCUGUUAAGAACCAAUUGUCUGAAUAUUUUACUCCAAUGAAAUAAAACUUUCAACAACGGAUCUCUAGGCUCUU
rnacentral:misc_RNA from 1 species